GGGGUUGUAGCUCAGUGGUAGAGAGAGCAUUUGGCCUCGCACGCGUUGAAGUCCUGGGUUCAAUCCUCAGCACCACA
rnacentral:tRNA from 1 species